rnacentral:rRNA from 1 species
CCUACGGGUGGCAGCAGUGGGGAAUCUUGCGCAAUGGGCGAAAGCCUGACGCAGCAACGCCGCGUGCGGGAAGAAGGCCUUCGGGUUGUAAACCGCUUUCAGCAGGAACGAAAAUGACGGUACCUGCAGAAGAAGGUGCGGCCAACUACGUGCCAGCAGCCGCGGUGACACGUAGGCACCAAGCGUUGUCCGGAUUUAUUGGGCGUAAAGAGCUCGUAGGCGGUUCAGUAAGUCGGGUGUGAAAACUCUGGGCUUAACCCAGAGCCUGCACCCGAAACUGCUGUGACUAGAGUUCGGUAGGGGAGCGGGGAAUUCCUGGUGUAGCGGUGAAAUGCGCAGAUAUCAGGAGGAACACCGGUGGCGAAGGCGCCGCUCUGGGCCGACACUGACGCUGAGGAGCGAAAGCGUGGGUAGCAAACAGGAUUAGAUACCCUAGUAGUC